GCUGUCCGCGGGCACCCAGUGGCACCAAGGGCCACCGCCACCCGGCCGUGACAGCCGAGCCUCCUCCCCGCGGCCCUGCACGCCCCGAAGCCCAGAGCGCAGUGCUGUGGCAGCAUGGAUCAGCCGGGCCCGCCGGCUCCCGCCCGGGAAGAGAAUGAAGUCAAGUAUGACACUAAUAACAACGAGGAGGAGGGGGAACAGCUCGAUCUGGACAGCGGAGACGAAGCUCCAGAGGCCGCCGCCGCUGCCGCCGUGGGACCCUGUGCAUCCUCCAGCCACCACCCAGGGACCAGCCAGCCUACCUGCGGGUUGGAUCGUCCGGGGGAAGGAUAUGAAAAAGGACCAGGAGUGGAACCACUGAAACCCGGGGUCCUGUCGAGAGUCAACCCCUAUUCUGUCAUCGACAUCACGCCCCUCCAGGAAGACCAGCCGCCAGCCCCAGACCCGGACGCCGAGGGGGAGGGUGGGGGCCUGCAUGUGCCCAGCGGGUACUCGGUGCCAGUGCCCUGCGGCUAUGCCGUGCCCUCCAGCCUGCCGCUGCUGCUGCCGGCCUACACCAGUCCCGUGCUGCCCGCCCCGCCCGCCGACCCUGCAGAGACUCAGGAGGCGGCAGAAGACAGCCAGCUGAAUUCCUUGAGUUCUGAGGAUCCAGCAAACAGUGAGGAUCCAGACCAGAAGGAGGACAGCACCCUGGCCCGCUGGGUCGCGGAUCCGGCCAACACAGCCUGGAUGGAGAAUCCGGAGGAAGCCAUUUACGACGAUGUGCCAAGAGAAAAUUCAGACUCUGAGCCAGAUGAAAUGAUUUAUGACGACGUGGAGAACGGAGAUGAAGGCGGCCACAGCUCUCUGGAGUACGGGUGGAGCUCCAGCGAGUUCGAGAGCUACGAGGAGCAGAGCGACUCGGAGAGCAGGAGCGGGGUCCCCCGCUCCUUCCUGCGCGGCGACCACAGGAAGCAGAUGCAGAAACUGGUGAGGGCUGCAAGAGAGGGCACCAAGGACGGGCUGGAGAGGACAAAGGCUGCCGUGAAGCGGGGACGCUCGUUUAUCAGGACCAAAUCCUUCGUCUCUUCAGACCACAGAUCCUGUCUUGAAGAGGAGCAGAACGUGUUCAUCGACGUGGACUGCAGGCACCCCGAAGCCAUCCUCACCCCGAUGCCCGAAGGCUUGUCUCAGCAGCAGGUCGUAAGAAGGUACAUUCUGGGCUCGAUCGUAGAAAGCGAGAAAAACUACGUGGAUGCUCUGAAGAGGAUAUUGGAGCAAUAUGAGAAGCCGCUGUGGGAGAUGGAGCCCAAGGUGCUGAGCGAGAGGAAGCUGAGGACCGUCUUCUUCCGGGUCAAGGAGGUGCUGCAGUGCCACUGCCUGCUCCAGAUCGCGCUGGCCGGCCGCGUGGCUGAGUGGGACUCGGUGGAGAUGAUCGGAGACGUCUUCGUGGCCUCGUUUUCCAAAUCCAUGGUGCUGGAUGCUUAUAGUGAAUAUGUGAAUAAUUUCAGCACAGCUGUGGCAAUCCUUAAGAAAACGUGUGCUACAAAACCUGCUUUCCUUGAAUUUUUAAAGCAGUGUCAGGAGUCCAGCCCUGACCGCGUCACACUGCACAGCCUGAUGACGAAGCCCAUCCAGAGGUUCCCGCAGUUCAUCCUGCUGCUCCAGGACAUGCUGAAGAACACGCCCCGGGGACACCCUGACCGGCUGCCCCUCCAGAUGGCGCUGACGGAGCUCGAGACGCUAGCAGAGAAGCUGAACGAGAGGAAGAGAGACGCCGACCAGCGCUGUGAAAUCAAGCAGAUAGCAAAAGCCAUCAACGAGCGGUACCUGAACAAGGUGGACGCUUUUCUGCUCUGCGCUGUUUCCUUGUGCUAA
rnacentral:lncRNA from 1 species